rnacentral:rRNA from 1 species
CAGUGUAUAGAUAAGCACCCCACAAAGCGUCUCACUUACACCGAGGAAGUAUCCGUG